GACGGGGGGGGCAAGUGUUCUUCGGAAUGACUGGGCGUAAAGGGCACGCAGGCGGCGAAUCGGGUUGAAAGUGAAAGUCGCCAAAAAGUGGCGGAAUGCUCUCGAAACCAAUUCGCUUGAGUGAGACAGAGGAGAGUGGAAUUUCGUGUGUAGGGGUGAAAUCCGUAGAUCUACGAAGGAACGCCAAAAGCGAAGGCAGCUCUCUGGGUCCCUACCGACGCUGGGGUGCGAAAGCAUGGGGAGCGAACAGG
rnacentral:rRNA from 1 species